CCAGACUCCACAGGUAAUACUUCAGGUAUUCCAGACUCCACAGGUAAUACUUCAGGUAUUCCAGACUCCACAGGUAAUACUUCAGGUAUUCCAGACUCCACAGGUAAUACUUCAGGUAUUCCAGACUCCACAGGUAAUACUUCAGGUAUUCCAGACUCCACAGGUAAUACUUCAGGUAUUCCAGACUCCACAGGUAAUACUUCAGGUAUUCCAGACUCCACAGGUAAUACUUCAGGUAUUCCAGACUACACAGGUAAUACUUCAGGUAUUCCAGACUCCACAGGUAAUACUUCAGGUAUUCCAGACUACACAGGUAAUACUUCAGGUAUUCCAGACUACACAGGUAAUACUUCAGGUAUUCCAGACUACACAGGUAAUACUUCAGGUAUUCCAGACUACACAGGUAAUACUUCAGGUAUUCCAGACUACACAGGUAAUACUUCAGGUAUUCCAGACUACACAGGUACUACUUCAGGUAUUCCAGACUACACAGGUAAUACUUCAGGUAUUCCAGACUCCACAGGUGUUAUUAGUUCACUACAACAGUUGAUCUAACGUGGUAUGAUCUCCAGUGGAAGCAGCAGGACUUACAGUGUCGUGGGCAGCAGCAGGUCUCAGGGCAGCACCAACAGGACACAUAACAGCAGCAGGAGUGAGGACAGCACUGGCACCAACA